GCCAUGUGACGAUGGGGCCCAGUGAAGUACCCGACAAGGCUAUGAAAGAAAGAUUUCUGGAAAUCCGCUCCAAAGUUUGGCUAUAAAAAGAGCAAGAAUGAAGAUGGAAAGAAGCAAAACUACCAAAACCUCGAAAAAAAAGCUCUAAUCUUCAAUAUUCCAGCCCUCCUCUUUCUACCUAUCACCCAAAAAAUCUUGUAAUAUAUUAUAAUGUAUGCCUUACCAAGAUAUAUCCUAAGUCUGUAAAAUAAAUAAAUUUGUAUGGUGCAGUGUGCAAGUUUUUAAUUCGCGAGAUCAAUAAAAAAUUUUGGGUUUCCCGAAAGGGAAAUCCCUCUCCUGUAAACAUAUUCAAGUACUGCGUCAGAGCGAUAUUUGAGCUACCCCAUUUGGAGCAUUGUUCGGAGAUUGUGAGAUCCAGGAUCCAGUCAGAGUUGAUUUUUGAGCAGUAGCUGAUUAUUUGCACAGAGACACGAGGUAGAUCUACUGGCGUCCGCAGAUUUCAGGAGUCUUCUCCAUAAUAUCUAUUUACUGUUUUAUUUCACUCGAAACAGACAUGUAUAUUUCUUUCAGCCAAAUACUUGUAGUAUUCUUUAGUAGUUCAUGAAGUGUGACUCUAAAUCCUGAGUAGCUAGAAAUUAGUAUUAGCUUCGAGUUUCAUUUCAGUAUUCCACACAUUAUGCUGGAUUCAUUU